ensembl:lncRNA
CGGCCUUUGUGCGUCGGCCCCCACCCGCCCCUGAUUGAUCCCACCUGAGUCUAAUCGCUUACACCUCCCCGGUGUAUUUAAAGCCUGUGCUCCCCCGGUGCCUGUGCCGGUUCAUCUUUGCCGGUGUCCAGUGGGCCGGUGCCGUCUUUGUCUCUUCUGACGGUUUCCCUGAGACGCUGCUGGUAUUGACGAAGGGAUGAAGAGCAAUGGAUGGAGAUCCGGAUGUCGGAUGUGGAGCAGGAAUUCUGAUGAGCUCAGCGGGGGGGGACCACGGCCGGUGAGAUCUGGAGGACACUUCUGUAUGACUUCAAAACAGAAAAAAACAACUUCCACCGAGGGCACCGUGCAAGUGGGUUACCGCAGGAGCAGUUCUUCCAACAUCAAGGCACAUGUCAUACUUGUUUUUGAAGUGAAAUAAACAUUUACCGAUGAAUAAUUGAUUUUAUCUGUAUUAUUUGAGGGGGAG